rnacentral:rRNA from 1 species
UUUCCCUCGCAUGGGGGGUUGAGGAAAGUUUUUCGGUUUGGGAGGGUCUCGCGGCCUAUCAGCUAGUUGGUGGGGUAAUGGCCUACCAAGGCAACGACGGGUAGCUGGUUUGAGAGAACGAUCAGCCACACUGGAACUGAGACACGGUCCAGACUCCUACGGGAGGCAGCAGUGGGGAAUCUUGCGCAAUGGGCGAAAGCCUGACGCAGCAACGCCGCGUGCGGGAUGAAGGCCUUCGGGUUGUAAACCCGCUUUCAGCAGGGACGAAGAUGACGGUACCUGCAGAAGAAGCUCCGGCUAACUACGUGCCAGCAGCCGCGGUAAUACGU